GUUAAACUGGUAUAAAUGUGGAGUAGCUUCACUGUCUUCAGUAGUGACUCUGGAUUUAUUCUGCUGCCCUGGCCCACCUAAUCUUCUGUUCCUGCUCAGUAAUGGUAUCAACCAACUUCCCAUGCUCCUGUGUAUUUCAUGGCUUGUCUCAAGAUCCUGAGCAAACCACCCCUUCUUGGAUCUUUUGUGGCUGAGCUAAGGUGUUUAGCUGGCUGAGCUUCAUUGAUAAAAGUUGUUGGGAAGAAAGCUAAACACAAAGGACUGCCUCUCCUUUCCAUUGGCAGCUGCUCUUAAGAAGUGGCUUCACUGCCAGCCCCAGCCCAUGUAUCUUCACAGCUCCUGGAUGCAAUCCUGAUGCUAAUUUGUCUCUCAGCAACUUUGCUGAUGAUCAGAGACCCAUUUUGCCUCACAUUCUGAAGAAGAUAGGGAGGAGAAAGAGGAUAUUGACCUGAAGAGGAAGUGAUCAAUAUUAGAUGCCUCCUAUAGUGGUUGAGAGGUUGAUGGAAAAUUAAGAAGCCAGAACAGGAGUAUGAAAACUUCACUGCAGAAUCCAAGCAAAGAAGAGCUCAACUAGCUGAACUCCUUAACUCAACCAUCUAACUCAGCCAAAUACUCAAACAGAACAAAUUCUCUCCUGGCUCUGACAUCCUAGUUCAGAGGACAGUACCAUCUCAGAUCUUUGAAAGAAACAGUAGUGGCAAUUUCUGUGUAAACUGAAAUAUGAAACUCUUUUAAGAGAAAAUAUUUCAUAUUGGUCAUCUCUGAGCAGCUACAAGCUGGCAGUCUGAACAUAUGUUUUUGCAUACUAAACAUAUUAGGAAU
rnacentral:lncRNA from 1 species